rnacentral:sRNA from 1 species
CUGACGGUGCAGUAUUCUAGUCGUAGUGACCAUUUUCCAGGAAGGGCCUAAAAAUCCUUUGAAGGGCACAUCGAUGAAGUCCCUGGUGUCUGCUUGUUACGCCCAGUUUUGGGUGGAUGCUGGGGGUUAAGGAUCCAGGGCGCGUCCCAAUGGCAUGGGGCAUACGACCCGGUUUCCGUGGAGACUUGAAUCUUGUGCGACGACGGGCAGAACCCAUGUGGGCCCCGCCGCGUACGAAUCAGGUAUGAACCUGCAAGGCGGUGCACAGAAUCGUGUGCUGUGUGCAGCGUAGCCUGCCUUGAAGUGAACAUGCGGGGAAGGGAGAACAGACCGCCGCUGCCGUGGCCACGGCAAGUGCGGUUAUUGCUCCCGGAAACCAUGUUUGCAAAAGAGGCUAAGAUUAUGGAACACUCCGCCGUGGAAAACACCUAGGCUGUCCGAAAGGGGCAGGCAGGGGAUUGCAGUACGGACUAAGUGGCAAUCGGGUACUCAUUUUUUUGGCAACACUUGAGCCUGGGGAUCAAACGGAAACGACCUGUGCGGCAACGGCAGGUUCCCCUCGGUGAAAAACAACCCGACCUAAGCCGUAAGAUUUAUCCUGCCUGCCGCCGUCGUUUCUU